CCUACGGGAGGCAGCAGUGAGGAAUAUUGGACAAUGGGAGAGAUCCUGAACGAACCAAGCCGCGUGAGGGAAGACGGCCCUAUGGGUUGUAAACCUCUUUUGUCGGAGAACAAAACCAGGGACGUGUCCCGGACUGCGUGUAUCCGAAGAAAAAGCAUCGGCUAACUCCGGGCCAGCAGCCGCGGUAAUACGGAGGAUGCGAGCGUUAUCCGGAUUUGUUGGGGUACAGGGGUGCGUAGGCGGUCCGUUAAGUCAGCGGUAAAAUUGCGGGGCUCAACCCCGUCGGGCCGUUGAAACUGGGAGACUUGAGUUGGCGAGAAGGACGCGGAAUGCGCGGUGUAGCGGUGAAAUGCAUAGAUAUCGCGCAGAACUCCGAUUGCGAAGGCAGCUUACCGGCGCCAGACUGACGCUGAGGCACGAAAGCGUGGGGAUCGAACAGGAUUAGAUACCCUGGUAGUC
rnacentral:rRNA from 1 species